CAGUCGCCGCGGGAAUACGAGGGGCGCAAGCGUUAUUCGGAUUGAUUGGGUGUAAAGGGUGUGCAGACGGCUUAUUAAGUCACUUGUUAAAUUCUUCGGCCUAACUGAAGGUCUGCAAGUGAUACUGAUGAGCUAGAGGGUGGAAGAGAGAAGUGGAAUUCUCGGAGUAGCGGUAAAAUGCGUAGAUCUCGAGAGGAACACCAAUGGCGAAGGCAGCUUCUUGGUCCAUUCCUGACGUUCAUACACGAAAGCGUGGGGAGCAAACGGGAUUAGAUACCCGAGUAGUCCCUGUCUCUUAUAC
rnacentral:rRNA from 1 species